rnacentral:rRNA from 1 species
GAUCAAGCGUUGAAGGGCUUCUGACGGAUGCCUUGGCGUAGAGAGGCGAUGAAGGACGUGGCAAGCUGCGAUAAGAACCGGGGAGGCGCUAGCACCCUUUGAUCCGGUUAUUUCCGAAUGGGGAAACCCACCUUUGCGGUCUUCCAACUCUGCUUUUCGGAGCAGCGAUUGGUGGAUCGCUAAAAGGUACAAUGACCUGAAUACAUAGGGUUCAUUGAGCGAACCCGGGGAACUGAAACAUCUCAGUACCCGGAGGAAAGGACAUCAACCGAGACUCCCGUAGUAGUGGCGAGCGAACCGGGACCAGGCCAGUGCUCUUGUGAAAUAAAGUCGAACGGAAUGGAAAGUCCGGCCAUAGCGGGUGACAGCCCCGUAGACGUCAAACAGCAAGAGACUCGAGUAGGGCGGGACACGUGAAAUCCUGUCUGAACAUGGGGGGACCACCCUCCAAGCCUAAGUACUCCUCUACGACCGAUAGUGAACAAGUACCGUGAGGGAAAGGUGAAAAGCACCCCGACAAGGGGAGUGAAACAGAUCCUGAAAUCGGAAGCCUACAAGCAGUCGGAGCCGCCAAGCGCGGUGACGGCGUACCUUUUGUAUAAUGGGUCAGCGACUUNNAGCUUAAGCCGUUAGGUGUAGGCGCAGCGAAAGCGAGUCUGAAUAGGGCGCUAAGUUCGACGUAUGACGACCCGAAACCAGGUGAUCUAUCCAUGAGCAGGAUGAAGGUAAGGUAACACUUACUGGAGGUCCGAACCCGUGAAUGUUGAAAAAUUCUGGGAUGACUUGUGGAUAGGGGUGAAAGGCCAAUCAAACCUGGACAUAGCUGGUUCUCCGCGAAAUCUAUUUAGGUAGAGCGUCCGACGAAUACCCUGGGGGGUAGAGCACUGGAUGGUUGCGGGCUGCGCGAGCGGUACCAAUACUAACCAAACUCCGAAUACCCAGGAGUACUAUCGGGCAGACACACGGCGGGUGCUAACGUCCGUCGUGAAAAGGGAAACAACCCUAACCAUCAUCUAAGGCCCCCAAGUCAUGGCUAAGUGGGAAACGAUGUGGGAUUGCUUUGACAAUCAGGAGGUUGGCUUAGAAGCAGCCACCCUUUAAAGAAAGCGUAACAGCUCACUGAUCAAGCGAUCCUGCGCGGAAAAUGUAACGGGGCUAAAGCCAUGCGCCGAAGAUAUGGGUUUGCAGUUUACUGCAAGCGGUAGCGGAGCGUUCCGUAAGCCUGUGAAGGUCAACCGUGAGGUUGGCUGGAGGUAUCGGAAGUGAGAAUGCUGACAUGAGUAACGAUAAACAGUGUGAGAAACACUGUCGCCGAAAGACCAAGGGUUCCUGCGUAAAGCUAAUCUGCGCAGGGUUAGUCGGCCCCUAAGGCGAGGCUGAAAAG